rnacentral:rRNA from 1 species
GACGAACGCUGGCGGCGUGCCUAAUACAUGCAGGUUGAGCGCUGAAGGUUGGUACUUGUACCAACUGGAUGAGCAGCGAACGGGUGAGUAACGCGUGGGGAAUCUGCCUUUGAGCGGGGGACAACAUUUGGAAACGAAUGCUAAUACCGCAUAAAAACUUUAAACACAAGUUUUAAGUUUGAAAGAUGCAAUUGCAUCACUCAAAGAUGAUCCCGCGUUGUAUUAGCUAGUUGGUGAGGUAAAGGCUCACCAAGGCGAUGAUACAUAGCCGACCUGAGAGGGUGAUCGGCCACAUUGGGACUGAGACACGGCCCAAACCCCUACGGGAGGCAGCAGUAGGGAAUCUUCGGCAAUGGACGAAAGUCUGACCGAGCAACGCCGCGUGAGUGAAGAAGGUUUUCGGAUCGUAAAACUCUGUUGGUAGAGAAGAACGUUGGUGAGAGUGGAAAGCUCAUCAAGUGACGGUAACUACCCAGAAAGGGACGGCUAACUACGUG